rnacentral:rRNA from 1 species
GUGCCAGCAGCCGCGGUAAAACGGGAGGGGCGAGCGUUAUCCGGCGUAACUAGGCGUAAAGUGUUUGUAGAUGGUAAAAUAAGUUAUUAGUUAAAAAUUAAAGCCUAACUUUAAAAAAGCUUUUAAUACUGUUUUACUUGAGUUUUAUACAGAAGAGUAGAAUUUUACAUGAAAGGGUGAAAUCUGCAGAUAUGUAAAGGAAUACCAAUAGCGAAGGCAACUCUUUAGUAAAAACUGACAUUGAGAAACGAAAGUAUGGGGAGCAAACAGGAUUAGAAACCCCUGUAGUCC